rnacentral:lncRNA from 1 species
AAACAUAUUCUGGAGGUUUUCAUUCAGAGCGUCUUGUUUGUCCAUCCUUGCCCGGAGCUCACUCUGAUCUUGCUUGAUCUCUUUCUGAUCUUGCUUGAUCUCCUUCAGAGUGUUAAGAAUCAGAGGGAUCGCAGAGGAAGACUCCCCCUGAAUCAGAGCCUGCUGAGUUUCAGCUUCAGCAGCAGCUUGGGCUUCUGCAUCUGCUUUAGCCUUGGCUUCAGCUUCCUGAAUUCUCAGAAGUUCUGCUU